rnacentral:rRNA from 1 species
AUUGAACGCUGGCGGCAGGCCUAACACAUGCAAGUCGAGCGGCAGCGGGAAAGUAGCUUGCUACUUUUGCCGGCGAGCGGCGGACGGGUGAGUAAUGCCUGGGGAUCUGCCCAGUCGAGGGGGAUAACUACUGGAAACGGUAGCUAAUACCGCAUACGCCCUACGGGGGAAAGCAGGGGACCUUCGGGCCUUGCGCGAGCGGAUGAACCCAGGUGGGAUUAGCUAGUUGGUGAGGUAAUGGCUCACCAAGGCGACGAUCCCUAGCUGGUCUGAGAGGAUGAUCAGCCACACUGGAACUGAGACACGGUCCAGACUCCUACGGGAGGCAGCAGUGGGGAAUAUUGCACAAUGGGGGAAACCCUGAUGCAGCCAUGCCGCGUGUGUGAAGAAGGCCUUCGGGUUGUAAAGCACUUUCAGCGAGGAGGAAAGGUUGGUAGCUAAUAACUGCCAGCUGUGACGUUACUCGCAGAAGAAGCACCGGCUAACUCCGUGCCAGCAGCCGCCGUAAGAC